rnacentral:rRNA from 1 species
UACGGGGGGGGCAAGCGUUGUUCGGAAUUACUGGGCGUAAAGGGCUCGUAGGCGGCCAACUAAGUCGGACGUGAAAUCCCUCGGCUUAACCGGGGAACUGCGUCUGAUACUGGAUGGCUUGAGUUUGGGAGAGGGAUGCGGAAUUCCAGGUGUAGCGGUGAAAUGCGUAGAUAUCUGGAGGAACACCGGUGGCGAAGGCGGCAUCCUGGACCAACACUGACGCUGAGUGAGCGAAAGCCAGGGGAGCAAACGGG